UAAAGGACUGUACUGUAAUCAUGGACAUGACUGACUAAGAAUUGUGUUGUCUCUGUUAGCCAAGCUAAUUAACCUAAAUAUUAACGUUUGUCUCUUAUUUUCAGAUGUAACCUCCUGGAAAUAUGCUGUUGGCGGGCUGUUAGUUGUCAUCACUUUGCUCCUUGGACUGUGCAUGAUGCUCUGUAUUCAAACUAAGGAAAAGAAGUGGACCCCAGACACCCAAAACCAGUCGUGUUUAAAGUGCACCUCCAGGCUCGACUGAGCAGCCUUCGUGAAUUCUGCUGAAGCUGACAUCCACACUGCGUUUUGUCUUUUCUUACUCUAUAUGAACAUUUGACACAUUUUAUCAAAAGUUGCUUUAUGUGCUCAUCAUGCCUGUGUAUCUGAUUAUUAGUCCUUGCAUGCGAUAUCUUUGGUUAGAAGAACAGAGAGGAGACUCGGUGAGCUCACUAAAAAAGAAGAAACAAAACAAAGAGACCCACCACAUUGGCUCCGCUACCUCUGGACCACCUACAGUACUUUGGAUGCUAACUGGAAAUUUGUAUGACAGCUAGGAAGGAAAAAUAAGAAAGUUGAAAAUGAAUAAAAAUGAGUAUGAGAAUGAGAGAAUCUGUAUGACACGUCUCUAACAGUAGGGGAAGCGGCAUCGAGUGAGGAGGAAAUACUUUUUACACGUCUGGGUGUGAAAUCAGCAGUAAAUUGUCGUGUAUGGAGUCAAUGUUGAAUAUACAAACUCAACCUUGAUAUUUAGACAGAGUCAAUCUUUGGAGUGGAGACACUUUUAAAAACAUGAAAAGCUAAGUGGCACCAAUAUAACAGCACACAGAGUGUUACCAAAUCAGAGUUCAUUGAUGUGACGCUGGUUCAAAGCUGAAUGUCACACUUGUCGAGUCUAAACUCCCAUGAACUGAGAGAGAAAAAUGAAAAUGAGUAAAAAUGAGAGAGACGGAGAGAAAGAACUCAGCUGACGUCACCAGGACGCGCUCCGCUCUGCUUUACCAACAGGCAGUCCGCACACAAACGGAGGCAGGAGCUCUUCAGCUCAUAAAGUAGGGACGUGUGAUCCUGACGUGGUUGGUUUCCAGUGUCUACCAGGGGUUACUACUCUGCAAAAUGUGUGAGCUGGGAGGGAUCUGGAAAGGCCAGGCCGUAAGCCUUCAACUGAGCUCUGGUGACCACACAACAACCAAAGGCGUGAGGACAUACUGGAGUGUGACAGUUAGGAGAACGCUGACAACUGGGCCCAAACGCUGUGUCCUGAACACUUU